rnacentral:rRNA from 1 species
AGUGAACGCUGGCGGUAGGCCUAACACAUGCAAGUCGAACGGCAGCACAGUAAGAGCUUGCUCUUACGGGUGGCGAGUGGCGGACGGGUGAGGAAUACAUCGGAAUCUACUUUUUCGUGGGGGAUAACGUAGGGAAACUUACGCUAAUACCGCAUACGACCUACGGGUGAAAGCAGGGGAUCUUCGGACCUUGCGCGAGUGAAUGAGCCGAUGUCGGAUUAGCUAGUUGGCGGGGUAAAGGCCCACCAAGGCGACGAUCCGUAGCUGGUCUGAGAGGAUGAUCAGCCACACUGGAACUGAGACACGGUCCAGACUCCUACAGGAGGCAGCAGUGGGGAAUAUUGGACAAUGGGCGCAAGCCUGAUCCAGCCAUACCGCGUGGGUGAAGAAGGCCUUCGGGUUGUAAAGCCCUUUUGUUGGGAAAGAAAAGCAGCAGGUUAAUACCCCGCUGUUCUGACGGUACCCAAAGAAUAAGCACCGGCUAACUUCGUG